rnacentral:lncRNA from 1 species
AUCUGAACGAGUUCAACGACUUGAAGUUCGGGGAAGUGGAGCGGUAAUGAAGAGGAGAAAAGCCUGCUCGAACAUCACUUCAGUGACAUCAUCUGGGACAGUUGGAACAACUCUACGCUCCACAUUUAAUUCAGUGUCAAUCCUGAUUUCAUCAACAUGGACUGAUGGAACAAAAGUCAUGCAAAUAUGCUGUUUUGUGUAGUGGUGUCACAAGAUAAAGUACUUCCUUGAUGAGUUCAGAGAUGGAUGAUCAAUCAAACAUAGAAUAUGGUUUCUAGCAACCCUGCAGGUAUCCUUCAUACGCCAAUGAGAGUGCAUAAAGCUUGCACAUAUUAUAAACGGUAUCUGUGCUAUCCCCAAUAUAUAACAUUAGACCAAUUACAUUGCCAAAUUACAAUGGAG